GACGAACCGUCCAAACGUUAUUCGGAAUCACUGGGCUUACAGAGUUCGUAGGCGGUCUGGAAAGUUGGGUGUGAAAUCCCUCGGCUCAACCGAGGAACUGCGCUCAAAACUACCCGACUCGAGGGAGAUAGAGGAAAGCGGAACUGAUGGUGGAGCGGUGAAAUGCGUUGAUAUCAUCAGGAACACCGGUGGCGAAGGCGGCUCGCUGGACCUCUUCUGACGCUGAGGCGCGAAAGCUAGGGGAGCAAACGGG
rnacentral:rRNA from 1 species